rnacentral:tRNA from 1 species
CAGGGAGACAAUAAAUUGAUUGUGAUGUCUAAGUUAUUUAUUCUUAGGCCGCAAUCCUGUCACCUUAAGGUCGAUCGGUACCUCAGAUUUUUGAAUUAGUUUUACAAUUGAUUCUUUGAUUUCAGUUCCUAAACUUGUCUAGGUCACACCCAACAAAGGUUUCUCCUGGGCCAUUAGCUCAGGUGGUUAGAGCGCACCCCUGAUAAGGGUGAGGUCCCUGGUUCAAGUCCAGGAUGGCCCAUUCGUUGUUGGGGGUAUAGCUCAGUUGGUAGAGCGCCUGCUUUGCAAGCAGGAUGUCAGCGGUUCGAGUCCGCUUACCUCCACUGAAAACUAUCCUGAUAACUAAAUUUCUGGAGAAAAAAAUUGUAGAUGUGGCUUAGAAUUGUCUAUUUGAAAAGAACCUAGCUUCUUGUCAUCUUUCUAUAGUUGAUAAAAUGCUGGGCUCGCAUGGAUUAUUUCCAUGAGAAUUCAGUAGAACCUUGAAAACUGCAUAGAUUAGAAAGAAUAAAGCAUCUCAUGGAUGCAUAGUUCUGUUUUUAUAAUUUAGCCUUAAAACUAAAUUAUUUAAUUCUAGAAUUCAUGUUUAAUUCUUGAGUAAUAGCCGAGCACAAUUGAUUUUGUGAUUGUAUUAAA